rnacentral:rRNA from 1 species
UACUAGAGUACUAUGAAUGGUUGUAAAUUUAAAACUCAAAGAACUUGGCGGUGUUUUAGACCACUUAGGGGAACCUGUCUCGUAAUCGACAAUCCACGUUGUACCUGACCUUUUUUUGUUUUCAGUUUGUAUACCGUUGUCGUCAGGUAACUUUUUAGAAAGUAGGAGUUGGCUGGAGAAAUAAAGAUGAUUUAAUACGUCAAAUCAAGGUGCAGCUAAUAAAAAGGGGAGGAUGGGUUACAAUUAUAUAUUUAUAAAUACGGAUGAUUGUGUGUAAACAUGAUCUGUGAAGGUGGACUUAAAAGUAAAUUAAAUUAUAAGAAUAACUUGAAUGAGGCUCUGAAACGUGU